rnacentral:piRNA from 1 species
UAAACUUGGAUUGUUGUCCAAAGUAUGCCCC